rnacentral:rRNA from 2 species
GACGGAGGGGGCAAGCGUUGUCCGGAAUCACUGGGCGUAAAGCGCACGUAGGCGGGACGGUGCGUCGGUGCUGAAAGCGCCAGGCUUAACCUGGCGAGGCGUGCCGAUACGACCGACCUCGAGGCAGACAGAGGGUGGCGGAAUUCCGGGUGUAGUGGUGAAAUGCGUAGAGAUCCGGAGGAACGCCGGUGGCGCAAGCGGCCACCUGGGUCUGACCUGACGCUGAGGUGCGAAAGCGUGGGGAGCAAACCGG